CGUUGCCUGAUUCUGAUUUGGAGGAGUCGUCCCCGUGGACAUCCAGGAAUCGAUCGGAGCCUACGCGUCACAUAGCAUGUAAGAAAGCGGCCAGGAACCUGGUACGGGACCUGCUGGAGCACCAAAACCCAUCCCGUCAAAUUAUACUAGAGUGCAAUCCAGCCCUUACAGAGGAACAUGGAUGGAGAGCUACAGGUGGUUCACUGUGACUUCUUUAAAAUGGAUCCUAGAUAUCAGGAAGUAGUAAGACCAGAUGUGAGUUCACAGGCAAUAUUUCAGAACCUGGGAAUAAAAGCAGUUCCUUGGUCAGCAGGUGUUCCUAUAAAAGUAUUUGGAAUCCUACCAUAUAAACAUGAAAGACGAAUACUUUGGAAAAUUCUGUUCGAUCUGUACUCCUGCGAAUCUAUAUACAGAUAUGGACGAGUAGAACUGAAUAUGUUUGUUAGUGAAAAAGAAUUCCGGAAACUGAUAGCGACUCCUAAAAGACCGGAUUUAUAUCAAGUAAUGGCUGUUCUUUGGCAAGUGGCCUGUGACGUUAAGUUCCUGCACAUGGAACCUUGGUCGUCAUUUAGUGUGCAUACGGAAAAUGGGCACUUAGAAAAGUCAAAGCACGGGGAAUCAGUAAAUUUACUGAAACAAAACCUAUAUCUUGUUCGAAUGACUCCUCGUAGGACUUUAUUUACAGAAAACCUAAGUCCUUUGAACUAUGAUAUAUUUUUCCACUUGGUAAAGCAUUGCUUUGGGAAACGCAAUGCCCCAAUAAUACGCCAUUUACGUUCACUGAGUACGGUUGAUCCUAUUAAUAUCCUGAGGCAGAUAAGAAAAAACCCUGGAGACACAGCUGCUAGAAUGUAUCCUCACGACUUCAAAAAACUUUUUGAAACCAUAGAGCAAUCGGAAGACUCCGUCUUUAAGUGGAUCUAUGACUACUGCCCGGAGGACAUGGAGUUCUAGGAAGAGUCUGCAAGCCGAGAGUGAGCUGGAGCUGUUUGUCCAUUAUUUUGAAAUCAUGUGACAAAUGAACACUGAAUUUCAAGAAGUUCAUAUCCUUUUAACAGAAGAGAAACUACCCUUGUUUGGCACAAAUGAAGCAAAUAAUUUCUUCUCAAGUUGAUACCUUUGAUACACAGAAAACACAGUGGCUGCAGUAUUAUUCAAAGUUAAAUAAAACGAAAACCUGUCAGUUUGAUCAGAUCAAAUCUACUUUGUUUUAAAGUACUCUCUGCCGUAGAUCAAUGGUAGAACACAUACCUAGUAUGUCCAAGGUUUUGGUUUUGCUCCCUUGUAGACGCCCGACUCGCCAGCAAGAAUGACGCCACAACAGGAUUCUUUUGCACACGUUUAUUGGGAGAGCUUGAUAGCGAAAGCGAAAGACCCCGAGCCCAAAAAACCAGUGCUGCUUAUAUAGGCCUAGGAUAGGUGUGUCUACACCUGAUUGGUUAUGCUUUCAGUACCUCAUUUACAUGCCUUGGGCCAGGCAGUGACUCUGCAAAAAAAAAAAAAACUCUACUGCACAUGCGCACAUUGGUUGUUUACCCAUAUUCAUGGGCGUCAGCUUAUUGAAACCAGUACCAUCUUGUAAUGGCGUUUAUUGGCUUCCCAUACUCCCUAGCACAGGAAAUUUUUAAAAAAUUUCUAUUUACUGUAAAGGCCCAUAGGUAUGGAGUAUUUUCAAUUGUAAUUUAAUUUACUUUAAAAAAACAAAAAACCUUUGGGCCAAACCUCUUUAAAUAUGCACUUUUCACCAUUGCCAAUUGCUUGCAUCUCCCUCAGUUUCUAUACUGUUACGCUUAGAAAAUAAAUUGAUUUGGGCAGACAUGGUGGCAUAAGUCCCAGGCCUUGUGAGGUGGAGGGCCCAUCAGUUUAAUGCCACUUUCAACUGUAGAAUUGAGUUUGAGACCAGUUUAGGCUAAGAAAAGACCCUGUCAAGCAAAACAACGGUAUAAACUUAGAAAGUGAUCAGUUUAUCUUUUAUUAUGUUGAAGUGGAUUAUCAGGCACUAUGCAAUCCAGUUGUUUAAAUUUUAAAUUGUAGUAUGUUUUAAAACUUUUUGAGAAAUAAAAGAAUUUGUA
rnacentral:lncRNA from 1 species